rnacentral:misc_RNA from 1 species
GAAAUGCGAUAAGUAAUGUGAAUUGCAGAAUUCAGUGAAUCAUCGAAUCUUUGAACGCACAUUGCGCCCGCCAGUAUUCUGGCGGGCAUGCCUGUCCGAGCGUCAUUUCAACCAUCAAGCCCCCGGGCUUGUGUUGGGGACCUGCGGCUGCCCGCAGGCCCUGAAAACCAGUGGCGGGCUGGCUGUCACACCGAGCGUAGUAGCAAUCACCUCGCUCAGGGCGUGCUGCGGGUUCCGGCCGUUAAACAGCCUUACAAAACCCAAGGUUGACCUCGGAUCAGGUAGGAAGACCCGCUGAACUUAAGC